UACGUAGGGUGCAAGCGUUGUCCGGAAUUAUUGGGCGUAAAGAGCUCGUAGGCGGUUUGUCACGUCGGUUGUGAAAAUCCGAGGCUCAACCUCGGACCUGCAAUCGAUACGGGCAGGCUAGAGUUCGGUAGGGGAGACUGGAAUUCCUGGUGUAGCGGUGGAAUGCGCAGAUAUCAGGAGGAACACCGGUGGCGAAGGCGGGUCUCUGGGCAGUAACUGACGCUGAGGAGCGAAAAGCGUGGGGGAGCGAACAGG
rnacentral:rRNA from 1 species